CCACUCGUGUGUGUUUUGGGGCUUGGGGGAGGGGAGCCCGCGCGGCGGGACCGCGACCACUGCCCACAGAUGGCCUCCAGGCUGUCGGGACUGGAAUUCAGGUACGUGCGAGUUUUCUGCUUCCAAAGGAGGUGGCUGUGCUGUAGGGGCGGGAGCCUGGCCUCCCCCCGCCUUGCCAAGGGCCGCCUCUGGGGGGCUUCUGAGCCGCCGUGCGGGGGACCCACAUGCAGCCGUCCGCUCCUGGCUGGUGGGCGCCCGUGGGUGUGCGGAGUUAAGUGAGAGCUCAGGAGGCGCAGGCGGAGUCGGGACCGGUGUCGCUGGUGGCCCCGCGAGGCUGCGCUCGUGUCGCUGUGCUGGGCCCGAGCCAAACCUCAGCCACUGCAGAGGCGGCGCAGCUGGGCUUGGGCCGCGGGGGCUCACCGCCCGAAGCCCCGGCUGGGUUCUGAGCCAGCAGCGGUCCCGGGCCGGCGUCUGACCUCCGUGCGCAGGUUGGAGGGCAGGCAGGUGCCCGGCUCCGACAACGAUGGUGUCUGUCACUCGGUAACUGACCCUGCCGGAUUCACGGGGGAGACAGCCGCCCUCCCCGGGGCACGGGUCCAGCUGCGCCCGGCCCGGCCCGCACAGCAGGGCCCCCAGGCAGCCCGGCCAGCAGUCCGCAGCUCAGGCCACACGGAGCCGCCCUGCCGCACCCCUGCCGCACGUUCGCUCACACAGCCAGAUGGGCACACGGCAGGCCGGGGCCCUGCCAGCAGCCUGUAGGGCAGGGCUCUCUCCAGACGGGGGCGCGUGUGCCGGGCCGGGGGUGCAGCGGCUGGUGCCUCAAGACGCAUUCUAAGCCCGAGGUGCGUGUUCCAUUCGGCCCGGCCCCUGCCCUCACGGCUCUGCGAGGGGCCCCGUGGCUGGGCGCUGUUACCUCGGUGCUCUGUGUCCACAUCUGUCGUCCUGCUCAGGGACGCUGCCAGGCGUGGAUUUCCGCUCUAGUGGCUCAGACUGGCCCGAGUGUCCUCUCCAAGUCUCGCGCACGGGGUCCGUCAGAGCGCCGGGUCGUGGGGAGGUGUGUCGGUGAGGACACGGGCUCCCAUCUGCAAACUCCUGUGGGCGCGGCCUGUGAGGGUCCGGGUGCCCGGUGCCCACCGGCGCCCGCGCGGUCAGGCCGUUCCGUGGGGACGUGCGCGUGGGCGCCAGAGCCGGCCGGCCUCGCUGUCCCGAUGGGACCGUCAAGGCGCUCCUUCUCGCCUCUGGCUUCCGAGUCCGGGCCACGCCGUCGAGGUUGGGUUCCACCAGGCCGGUCGGGCUUCCCGCAGCCGCUCAGGUGGAGGAUGCUCCUUCGUCACAUCGGGAAACAAGUCGUUAUUUCUUCCGUGUUUUCUCUGUCUCCGUUUUCGUCUCUUCGAGUCCUCAGACUCCAGCUACACGUGGGUUGAGAGUGUCUGAUGCCUUUCUGCAGGCCCCUCGGGCUGCUCCCGGCUUUCCGUUAGCUUCCCUCCUCUGCGCGUCGGUCGGCUCCCUGUGCUCUCGGGGGAGCUCCCCCGUUUUCGUGCGGCCGCGUCCAGUCUGCGUGGACCGUCCCGGGGGAGCCCGUGUCCUCCGCGCUGUCGGUCGCCGCUCGCCCCCGCCUCUCUGUCAGCGUUUCCCGUCUGCUGCUUCCUCUGCUCUGAAACCCUCAGACCGACUGGUGAUUGUCUCACUGGCCAGCUCGCGGGUGCCUUUGACUUUGUUUUUCCUCGUGAUUGACUGGCCGCCUUUCCCCCACUUUAGUGGCGUACCAUGUGAGAAAUUGUGGGUGUCGCAAGGUCACUGUCUGGGUUCUGGCUUGUCCUGCAGAUCCUCUCGAUGGCCCGAGGGCCAGCUUCCAGCUCCGCUGGGGGGGGCCGAGGGCUGACCUUGAAGGCUGGAGCCGCCCAGCCCCACGGGAGGCUGCUCACGUUGGCGAGGCUCCCAGAGGCCCCUGCAUGGCCCCGACGUGUGCGGACACGCUGUUUUGCCUUCACCUCGGACUGGACUUCCGGAGACCGGCUCUCCCUGAGUUCCCGCGCGAGGUCAGGACGAAGGUUUCUGCAGCAGGACGCACCGGCGUCAGUGGCUGCCACGCAGGCUCAGUGCAGGGGUGCCCACGGGCGGGCACCGCCAGCAGAGUGCCGUUC